rnacentral:rRNA from 1 species
AUGGCUAGAUAUUGGUGGAGCAGCUCAGUGGAUCGCAGGUCUCUCCACUGGAUCGAUUGGGAGUCUCUGACCAAACCAAAGAAUGCGGGCGGGAUGGGGUUCAGGAAGUUGGAUUUGUUCAACCUAGCUCUCCUGGGCAAACACGGCUGGAAGCUUAUAACGAACCCAGAAUCCUUGUGCGCGCGCGUUUUGAAAGGAAAAUACUUUCCAACAAGUGAGUUCAUGGACGCAACAGUACCUAAACAUGCGUCAGCCACUUGGAGGGCAAUAGUUGCAGGGAGG